rnacentral:rRNA from 1 species
GAUGAACGCUGGCGGCGUGCCUAAUACAUGCAAGUCGAGCGAACGGACGAGAAGCUUGCUUCUCUGAUGUUAGCGGCGGACGGGUGAGUAACACGUGGAUAACCUACCUAUAAGACUGGGAUAACUUCGGGAAACCGGAGCUAAUACCGGAUGAUAUUUUGAACCGCAUGGUUCAAAAGUGAAAGACGGUCUUGCUGUCACUUAUAGAUGGAUCCGCGCUGCAUUAGCUAGUUGGUAAGGUAACGGCUUACCAAGGCAACGAUGCAUAGCCGACCUGAGAGGCUGAUCGGCCCCUUAGGGAUAUACGCCCGGCCCAUACUCACACGGGAGGCAGAGGUAGGAAGGCUUCCGGUAUGGGCGAGAGCCAGGCGGCGCAACGCCGCGUGAGUAGAGGAUGUCCUCGGCUCGGAAAGAGCUGUUCUAGGGGAAACACAUAUGUUUAAGGAACUGGUACCGUUUUGGCGGUACUCAAGCAGAAAGCCGCGGCAAACUACGU